GGGGGGAGUGCACAGUCACAGGUGAGGGAGCAGCCAGCAUGCGUGGCUAUAGGGGGUGCACAAAUAGGAGGUGGAGAGUAGGUGCAAAGGGGCUUCCGGCCCAACCCCCAGGAGGCAGUAGGGAAACGAGAGUGGGCAAAGGGGGACACUGGGCCCACCUGUCCUUGUCCUGAAGGAGAGCAGUGGCCAGAGGUCCCCCUUCCCACUCCCACACACUGUCCCCUCAUCUGCCCUGGCUGACUGUGGGGUGGCAAGGGCACGGUCCCGCUGAUUUGAGUUCAAAGUUCUCUUCAAUUGAGCUCGAUUUGGUAGUAGCUUCAUAAAGAUGAUCACAUUGAAUUUCCAGAACACGCUGGUAAGGUAGGUAACUAUUACUAUUCCCAUUUGAUGAGCAAAGUGUGCUUGAGAGUCCAGUUCAAAACUUCACUGAUAUCAUGGAAGCCAGUAGGAAGCAAAGCUGAGGUCUGUGUUUAUUUUGUGUAAUUUAAUUAAUUUUUGAGACAGGGUUUUGCUUUGCUGCCUAGACUGGAGUGCAGUGGCUCAAUGAUGGCUCACUGCAGUCUGGACCUCCUGGGCUCAGCAAUCCCUCCUCCCCCAGUAUCUGGGACUACAAGUGUGCAACACCAUGUCCAUAUAAUUUUUUUUUUUUUUUUGAGACAGAGUCUCGCUCUGUUGCCCAGGCUGGAAUGCAAUGGCGCGAUCCCGGCUCACUGCAACCUCACUUCCUGUGUUCAAGCCAUUCUCGUGCCUCAGCUUCCCGAGUCGCUGAGAUUACAGGUGUGCAUCACCACACUCGGCUAAUUUUUGUAUUUAUUUUUUGUAGAGACGGGGUUUCACCAUGUUGGCAAGGCUGGUCUCGAACUCCUAACCUCAAGCAAUCCGCCAGGCUUGGCCUCCUAAAGUGCUGGGACUACAGGCACCCGUCUCCGCGUUCUGCAGCACAGCUGAGAUUUGCAUCUGAGUCUCCAGGUGGCUUCUCAGGGUUGGCAGAACUGAGCACAGGAAAGGAGCACUUUACAUGGCAGCAGAAGGAGGUCAGCGCUCCCCCCACUUCUCCAGCGCCGCGUGCGGAGAGACAAAGAAAUUGAUUUUCCAAUCGAUGCUCUGAGCAAUGAUUAAAUGUUCUCUGCACAGUGGGCCUAAUGAGUCCCCAAGGGGCGUGCCGGCCCUUUAAUUAGAGACUCCCACGGGGGCCUGGGAUGGGGGCUGCCCUGGAGUGAGGGGGUCCAGCCAGGGAGGAGGCCCCAUCCCCAGGGAUCGGUGGCCUGGGCCUCUGAGAGAUACUGUUUGGGGGCCCCUGGGCGUAGAGACCCAGCGGAGGGGUCCCUAGGCAGGGGGAUCCCAUAGAGUAGCUCCCGGGCUGAGAGGUCCCUUGGAGGGGCCCCUGAGCUGGGCCCUCGAGGAAGAACCUGGGCUACAAGGAUGGAGGCUGGAGGCCCCCGAGUGAAUGCACAGAUUCACCCACGUGAGCAUGAGCCAGGCAUGCACCCCCUCCCGCCCCAACCAGAGGACAGACGCAGGCCAAGGCCUCCCUGUCCUCUGCCCCCCAG
rnacentral:lncRNA from 10 species